GUUGCCCCUUGAGGCGUUGCAGCGCAACCGUCCGUGUUGCGGCUGUGUCAAAAGGCGGCAAAGAGCAAAAGGCGGUCGUCUGCACCGUGACGACGCGGCGUUUUGUUGACCGCCGACAUG